UCAGGCCUAACACAUGCAAGUCGAGCGAUGAAGCACCUUCGGGUGUGGAUUAGCGGCGAACGGGUGAGGAACACGUGAGGAAUCUGCCUUCCACUCUGGGAUAACUCCGGGAAACCGGGGCUAAUACCGGAUACUUUCAACUGGCGGCAUCGCCGGUUGAAGAAAGUUUUUCGGUGGAAGAUGACCUCGCGGCCUAUCAGCUUGUUGGUGAGGUAAUGGCUCACCAAGGCGACGACGGGUAGCCGGCCUGAGAGGGCGACCGGCCACACUGGGACUGAGACACGGCCCAGACUCCUACGGGAGGCAGCAGUGGGGAAUAUUGGGCAAGGGAGGAAACUCUGACCCAGCGACGCCGCGUGAGGGAUAAAGGCCUUCGGGUUGUAAACCUCUUCAGCAGGGAAUAAGCGAAAGGAA
rnacentral:rRNA from 1 species